GAGUUUAAAGUCUGCAGCUGGCUCCGGGUGACAUGAUUCAUGGCUUCCUGAAUCCAGCCGUCCAGUCCGCUUCGCUAUCUAAGUGGUCUCCAACAGGCAGAGAGGCAUUUUCCAAAUUAUGGUGGAGGUGCAGAGAAUCCAAGAAGCAAGCAACAGUCUCAUAGGUCUGAAGAGAAUCCAGUGAGGAUGCUGUGCUGAUCAGCUGUUUGUCAACUUGACCCAUCGUGGAAGAAAGAAUCGAAGCUGAGAAAUUCCUCCAUCAGAUUGGCCUGUUGGAAAGUCUACGCAGCAUUUUCUUGGUUAGGGAUUGAAGUGGGAAGGCCCAGCCUACUGUGGGUAGUGCCACCUCUGGGAAGGUGGUUCUGGGUGUAUAAGAAGGUGGAACAAACCAUGGAGACCCAGCCUGUAACCAUUGUUCCUCCAAGGUCUGUGCUUCAUUCAAGGUCCUGCCUUCAGGUCCCUGCAUUGAACGUCUGCCCCGACUUCUCUCUGUGUUGAACUGUGAGCUGUAAGAUGAAAUAAACUCUUUCCUCCUCAA
rnacentral:lncRNA from 1 species